rnacentral:rRNA from 1 species
UACGUAGGCAGCGAGCGUUGUUCGGGAUUACUGGGCGUAAAGAGUGUGUAGGCGGUGCUCUAAGUUCGGUGUGAAAUCUCCCGGCUUAACUGGGAGGGUGCGCCGGAAACUGGAGUGCUCGAGCGUGGGAGAGGAAAGCGGAAUUCCUGGUGUAGCGGUGAAAUGCGUAGAUAUCAGGAGGAACACCUGCGGUGUAGACGGCUUUCUGGACCAUUGCUGACGCUGAGACACGAAAGCGUGGGUAGCAAACAGG